GAGGGUAUAGCUCAAGUGGUAGAGCCCAUGCUUAGCAUACAUGAGGUCCUGGGUUCAAUCCCCAGUACCUCCA
rnacentral:tRNA from 1 species